rnacentral:rRNA from 1 species
AUUGAACGCUGGCGGCAGGCUUAACACAUGCAAGUCGAGCGGAGAUGAGGUGCCUGCACCUUAUCUUAGCGGCGGACGGGUGAGUAAUGCUUAGGAAUCUGCCUAUUAGUGGGGGACAACAUUCCGAAAGGAAUGCUAAUACCGCAUACGCACUACGGGGGAAAGCAGCGGAUCUUCGGACCUUGCGCUAAUAGAUGAGCCUAAGUCGGAUUAGCUAGUUGGUGGGGUAAAGGCCUACCAAGGCGACGAUCUGUAGCGGGUCUGAGAGGAGGAGCCGCCACACUGGGACUGAGACACGGCCCAGACUCCUACGGGAGGCAGCAGUGGGGAAUAUUGGACAAUGGGCGGAAGCCUGAUCCAGCCAUGCCGCGUGUGUGAAGAAGGCCUUUUGGUUGUAAAGCACUUUAAGCGAGGAGGAGGCUACCUGGAUUAAUACUCUAGGAUAGUGGACGUUACUCGCAGAGUAAGCACCGGCUAACUCUGUGCCAGCCGCCGCCGUAACAC